GAUGAAGAACGUAGCGAAAUGCGAUACGUAAUGUGAAUUGCAGAAUUCAGUGAAUCAUCGAAUCUUUGAACGCAUAUUGCGCUCUCUGGUAUUCCGGAGAGCAUGCUUGUUUGAGUAUCAGUAAACACCUCAACUCCCUUUCUUCUUGAAAUGGAGCUGGACUUGAGUGAUCCCAACGCUUUAUUCAUAAAGUGGCGGGUUACUUGAAAUGCAGGUGCAGCUGGACUUUUCUCUGAGCUAUAAGCAUAUCUAUUUAGUCUGCCUCAAAACAGAUUAUUACCUUUGCUGCAGCUAACAUAAAGGAGAUUAGUUCUUGUGCUGACUGAUGCAGGAUUCACAAAGACCGCUUCGGCUGUCUUUGUAAACUCGAACUCAAAUCAAGUAAGACUACCCGCUGAACUUAAGCAUAUCAAUAAGCGGAGGA
rnacentral:misc_RNA from 1 species